UACAGAGGUCUCAAGCGUUGUUCGGAUUCAUUGGGCGUAAAGGGUGCGUAGGCGGCGCGGUAAGUCGGGUGUGAAAUCUCGGAGCUUAACUCCGAAACUGCAUUCGAUACUGCCGUGCUUGAGGACUGGAGAGGAGACUGGAAUUUACGGUGUAGCGGUGAAAUGCGUAGAUAUCAGGAGGAACACCGGUGGCGAAGGCGGGUCUCUGGGCCGAUGACUGACGCUGAGGAGCGAAAGCGUGGGGAGCAAACAGG
rnacentral:rRNA from 1 species